UACGUAGGGAGCAAGCGUUGUCCGGAAUCAUUGGGCGUAAAGCGCGCGUAGGCGGCCUUAUAAGUCCGCUGUGAAAGUCAAAGGCUCAACCUUUGUAAGCCGGUGGAUACUGUGGGACUAGAGUACGGAAGAGGCGAGUGGAAUUCCUGGUGUAGCGGUGGAAUGCGCAGAUAUCAGGAGGAACACCAAUAGCGAAGGCAGCUCGCUGGGACGUUACUGACACUGAGGCGCGAAAGCGUGGGGAGCGAACAGG
rnacentral:rRNA from 1 species